rnacentral:rRNA from 1 species
GACGAACGCUGGCGGCGUGCUUAACACAUGCAAGUCGAACGGAGUGGCGAACGGGUGAGUAACACGUGGGUGAUCUGCCUUGCACUUCGGGAUAAGCUUGGGAAACUGGGUCUAAUACCGGAUAGUGCAAGAUGAGCUCGGGGCAUAUCAGCUUGUUGGUGGGGUAAUGGCCUACCAAGGCGUCGACGGGUAGCCGGCCUGAGAGGGUGUACGGCCACAGUGGGACUGAGGUACGGCCCAGACGGCAACGUGCGGCAGGAGUGGGGAAUAUUGCACAAUGGGCGGAGGCAUGAUGGAGGGACGCCGCGUGGGAGAUGAAGGUCUUCGGGUUGUAAACUCCUUUCGACAGGGACGCGGUACCUGUAUAAGAAGCACCGGCUAACUACGUGCCAGCAGCCGCGGUAAUUC